UAAUCACAGACGACUGUGGGAAUCACCCUAAUUGCAGAAGCAUCAUUGUGACCAUUUCAGGAGAAUAGGCAUGUCAACAAUUUUUGUAAGAUGUUAGAUACAAAUUUCAACUCAUCAUCUCUUCACUCAGCAGAUAUUUACUGAGGAUGUGACUUUUCUGACGCUAAGUUACAUGCUACGAACAUGAUAAGAAACAGAAACCAAUUCCUUGCAUUCUUGCAGUUUCUCCCGUGGGAUGGGACCGACAACACACGUGGAAGACGCCAGGGAAUGGGACAUUUCUGCAAGAAGAAAAACUCCUGUGCUGCAAGGACAGAGGCCCUGCUGCUAGGCCCUCCGAGAAGCAGUGAUCCGGGGAGACCUUUGGGAGAUCGAGCCGUUCUACAGGAUUAGCGUCAGGCCAGCUGUUGGCUGCCAUAGUUGUUCAGCGAUCCAUUGAUCUUUUGCACAGUUUGAAGUGGUGUUUGAAUAUGCAUUUUUCCUCUGCACACCUGAAUUACAAUGGACUGAUAUCUGUGAACCAUAUGGAAUAGCCACAUAGUUCUCCACAUGUGCCUGGACACCACGUUGGCUCCUUCUCGCUUGCCGCUGAAGAUGUGCUCUCUCAGGGUCCGGCUGCCACGCCUGCUGCUCGAUGUAAUGAACUCUCAGCCAUGAUGAAGCUAUUCAUGAAAACAACUCUUCUGUAGGUCACCCUGGGUUGUGGCGUUUUGUCCCAGCGACAGACAGAAAGUAACUAAUAAGCCAUGGAAAAGACCUCAGGGAAUGGCUGUGGCAGAUUAUCUAGAUUAGGCUAAUUGGGGAAGGGAGAUUCACCUUAAUGUGGAUGACACUACCCCCAGGGUGGUAUGUCUGAUUGAAUAAACUGAAAAGUGAACUGAA
rnacentral:sRNA from 1 species